rnacentral:lncRNA from 1 species
CACCUGCUGAAUGCAUAUAAAUAUAACAAAUGUGAAUAAGAAAUGAUGCUGUAAUAAGAAGGGAUCACAGAGUUAAGAAGAAAUACCACUGUCUUCAUUCCAUUUAAAAGUGUGACAAGAUCUUGUUGAUGGUGAAAUAUAAGAAGUGAAUGCAAAAUUUCAAAUGUGAUUGCAUUACAGCCCUGUGGUGAGGGACUAUUAAAUCUCUGCUCUGUGGUGUGAUAAAACCACUACUUCCUGCCUGGCCUCUUGAAUGCCAAAGCUCCUGUUGAUGGAAACUUUGUCUAAGGAAGGAAAAAAUGGGCCACUCAAACACUAUUUUUGGGGACUGAUCCAUGAGUUGUAAGACUGGCUCCUGCACAGACCAGGAACAAGAUGGAGCGCAGCAAUGUAAGCUUUGUUAUUCAGC